rnacentral:rRNA from 1 species
UACGAAGGGGGCUAGCGUUGCUCGGAAUCACUGGGCGUAAAGCGCACGUAGGCGGAUUGCUAAGUCAGGGGUGAAAUCCUGGAGCUCAACUCCAGAACUGCCUUUGAUACUGAGGAUCUCGAGUCCGGGAGAGGUGAGUGGAACUCCGAGUGUAGAGGUGAAAUUCGUAGAUAUUCGCAAGAACACCCGUGGCGAAGGCGGCUCUCUGGGACGGUACUGGACGCUGAGACGCGAAAGCGUGGGGAGCGAACAGG